AGAGUUUGAUCCUGGCUCAGGACGAACGCUGGCGGCGUGCUUAACACAUGCAAGUCGAACGGAAAGGCCCUUCGGGGUACUCGAGUGGCGAACGGGUGAGUAACACGUGGGUGAUCUGCCCUGCACUUUGGGAUAAGCCUGGGAAACUGGGUCUAAUACCGAAUAUGACCAUGCGCCUCCUGGUGUGUGGUGGAAAGCUUUUGCGGUGUGGGAUGGGCCCGCGGCCUAUCAGCUUGUUGGUGGGGUAAUGGCCUACCAAGGCGACGACGGGUAGCCGGCCUGAGAGGGUGACCGGCCACACUGGGACUGAGAUACGACCCAGACUCCUACGGGAGGCAGCAGUGGGGAAUAUUGCACAAUGGGCGCAAGCCUGAUGCAGCGACGCCGCGUGAGGGAUGACGGCCUUCGGGUUGUAAACCUCUUUCAGCACAGACGAAGCGCAAGUGACGGUAUGUGCAGAAGAAGGACCGGCCAACUACGUGCCAGCAGCCGCGGUAAUACGUAGGGUCCGAGCGUUGUCCGGAAUUACAGGGCGUAAAGAGCUCGUAGGUGGUUUGUCGCGUUGUUCGUGGAAACUCACAGCUUAACUGUGGGCGUGCGGGCGAUACGGGCAGACUUGAGUACUGCAGGGGAGACUGGAAUUCCUGGUGUAGCGGUGGAAUGCGCAGAUAUCAGGAGGAACACCGGUGGCGAAGGCGGGUCUCUGGGCAGUAACUGACGCUGAGGAGCGAAAGCGUGGGGAGCGAACAGGAUUAGAUACCCUGGUAGUCC
rnacentral:rRNA from 1 species